UAUGUACGUACAUUUAUAUAGUUAUAUAUAGCUAUAUACUGUUCAAUGUUAAAUAAAAUAUAAAAGCACUAGGUUCUAAUUCCGUAAAUCUUUUCUACCUUUCGAUUGAACUCGAUUCCAGACUAAAUACACGCGUUAUUCGUCCUCGGGAUAUCUAAUUUUAGUAACGAUACGUACGAAUCCAAUGUUAGUCUUCGCAUGUCGCAUUUCUAAUUUCGAUUUGGACCUUUCUACUUCGCGUGGUAUCGGAGACUUUCUGGUAUUAUACAAAAUUGUUGCAUAAGAAAGUUCCCAAGAUUUGAUUCACUCUUGUUAUAUGAAAAUGAUCGAUUUCGAAGGAUAUUACAUGCAAUAUUCCUUUUUGUUAUUUAAUCGAUAUUACGUUAUUAAUUUUGUCGCAUCGACAAUCAUUAUCAUUUGAUUCAUAAUACACAGUUGGAUAUUUCCGAUGGGAGUAGAUCCAUCCAUCCGUCCAUCCAUCCAUCCACUUUCUCUCUGGUCUCAUAGUUAUUUCAUCGACUCGUUUCUCGUUUGGAACCUGCUCUUUCUUCCUCUCGUUAUAGCAACGAACGUGAUGGCGCAAGAGGGGUCAGAGUCCGGUUGGAGGGCGGCGGAAUUGCGAAAGGGGAUCGUCAGAGAGGGUGGCGGAGAUACAUAUAGAGGGUUAGAAGGUACGCUCGAGAGAGGCGGUACUAGGUGGUGGUGGUGGUGCGCGCGAUGGUAACGGAUGGUAACCGGCUGAGACCUGGAUCACGUGAUGACGUCACACUUGCGUUACCAGGAUACCGAAGAUGAAAGCCUAAAAGGAAACGUCAGCUUCUUCGGAAUCCAUUAAAGAGAGACUCUUUGUCCUCUGAGCCUCCUCUUGAUGAUCACCGCAAUAACAACGACGACGACGACGACGACGACGACGACGACGACGACGACGACGACGACGACGACGACGACGACGACGACAGCGACGGCGACGACGACAACGACGAUGACGACGACGACAAUGAUGAUGAUGAUGAUGAUGGCAAACAAUGAGAAUAUACAGAUACCGAUAGCUAGGGGUAUACGAUUGAUCUCCCCUUCAAACUGUUCGGAUUUAAAAGGAACUUUCUGAAAGUGAUUUUUCUGUUCUUGCCUUUUAGCUCGGCACCCUUCUUAUACAUAAGUUCCCAUCAAAUUUAAGAACUGGUAUUCAAUGCUUCUUUCGAAGGAAUCACGAGAUCUUCUCUGCGACGCGAAUGAAUAAGCCUUCUGCACGAACGACAAUAUCGUCGACCCAACGAUUUUAUAUAACUCGUUCUUAACCUUCGAUCGGCCAAAUCAAGUCAGAAUUGAGGUCAUCCAAGCAAGAUGGUUACUCUUCCUUUCUCCAAUUUUCGAUGCAACUACUUCUUAUUAUUCUUAUUUUUUGUUUAAUGAUUCGGCAGAUAACAUUUGAGAGAUUCUUAAAAUAUUCAUUUAUGGUUUGGAAUAAAGAUCCUUUUUUUUUUGUUUUGCAAACGAUAUUAAUUUUUAAUUUAGUCAAGUUCUAAGGGAGGGAGGAAAGGAGAGAGAGAGAGAGAGAGAGAGAGAGAGAGAGAGAGAGAGAGAGAGAGGGAGCAUAUAUAUGUGACUAAAAAAGUGAGACAGAGAAUGAAGAGCUAUUAUGAGAAAUUUUAACCUGCAAGUUUCUAGACUCGCAAGUAAUUCCAAAAUAGAUUCUACCUUUAACGAACGUAAAAACAACUGAAAGGUGACGCAUCGAAUUUGUGAUUCGACCUCGUUUUCUACUCACACCAACUUGUAGAAACUGCUCUCGUGAGUCCGAUCUUUUCAGGUAUCAAGAAGGCUCGAAGGUCGACCAAUGUGUAUACGUAUAUCGCAGUCCCUUCGAGGUAUCUUGCAAAGAGAACCACAUCCGUAGCAAACGGUUACAAACUUCCAGGAAAUCGUUCUUAUAUGUAAAUCCGGUAUAAAUGGAGAAGAUUAAAAAAAAAAAAAGAAGAAAAAAAAAGAAAAAAGAAAAAAGAAACAAAAAGAAAAAAUAAAGAAAUAAAAAAAAAAAAAAAGAAAAAGAAAUAAAAAAGAAUAAUAAUAAAAUGAUAAAUGGUAAAUUGUAGAAAGUAAAGAAAAAUAUCGUUAUUAUACUUGCCGAUGAUUAAAUAUAAACGCUGAUAGGCUCGGGACAUAUACCAUUGGAUGAUAUAAACACGGUACCAUCGUAUCGUAAA